AUUGAAUGCUGGCGGAAUGCUUUACACAUGCAAGUCGAACGGCAGCACGGGGGCAACCCUGGUGGCGAGUUGCGAACGGGUGAGUAAUACCUCGGAACGUGCCCAGUCGUGGGGGAUAACGUAGCGUAAGCUACGCUAAUACCGCAUACGAACUCUGGUUGAAAUCGGGGGAUCGCAAGACCCUGCGCGAUUGGAGCGGCCGAUGGGAGAUUAGGUAGUUGGUGGGGUAAAGGCCUACCAAGCCGACGAUCUGUAGCUGGUCUGAGAGGACGACCAGCCACACUGGGACUGAGACACGGCCCAGACUCCUACGGGAGGCAGCAGUGGGGAAUUGUGGACAAUGGGCGCAAGCCUGAUCCAGCCAUUCCGCGUGAAGGAUGAAGGCCCUCGGGUUGUAAACUGCUUUUGUACGGAACGAAACGGCGACCGCUAAUACCGGUUGCUAAUGACGGUACCGUAAGAAUAAGCACCGGCUAACUACGUGCCAGCCGCCGCGGUAAAAC
rnacentral:rRNA from 1 species